GUUCUUGCCUUGUCUUCUGCUUGUUUGGAUGCUAUGUAUUUGGUUGUCUUGCAAGUACAUUCAAUGUACUGACCUGGCGUGUCAUGCCAGUUUUGUAGGUCAUACCCGAAGUGUUCGCUUGACCCGUCGUGCUAGGCUGUAACCUUGCCAGUCUUGUGAGUUGUGGAGCCCAGCCAGAGUUGUUAUGCUGCCAAACCAAGACUUCCGCCGCCAUUUAAAUAGAUUUCCACAGCCAUUUAAAUGGCCUUAGGGCUAUGCCAGAUAAUUGUAUUCAUCAACGAUGUAAUCUUCUAUACAUGUAUUUGAUGAAUAUUCUUGUACCUGGAAUGCUGUAUUAUGGACCUGUCGUGCGUCAGGUGUUAUCCUGGGCUGACGUACGAAGGCCCCCUGCUCCAUGCGGAUCGGGGUGCCACUGGACAUGGUAUCAGAGCAGCCAGGCUGGCAUAGGUUAUCCUAGUAUUAGAUCACCGCUCCCAUUAAACCGUAAUAACCCUAAGGGAUUUGACCCAUCCCUGGUAUCCGGUAUGGCCACUAUUAAUCCACAGAUGGCGCAGUCGGGACCGACACGUCCUCACCCCGCUGUCCUUGCCUAGUUAUCUAUGGAACGAAUAGCAACCAUAUCAUUUCUGGUCAGCCGCACUGCUUACCCUUCGCCAUUAAGGGAAAGGGGCCACACCAUGCGGUCAUGUCCCGCAUAGCUGCCUAUAAAAGCCCCCUUUUCUGCUAGCCAUAUCACUCACUCCUCAUUCAGUCAUGUCCCUGCAAAGAAGCCUAGCUAGUAACACUCCAGCCAUGGCUAGCACCCUUAAAACUACCAAGUUUCUCACCCGCACAAGUGCCGUCAACCAUACUGGCUUUCCACCCAUUCUUGCUGAGAUGCUCGCCAAAGCCUUUGGCUAUAAUGCUAGCCCCGAUUACCUGGUGUUCCAAUCGACACUCGUUCCUCACCUUCAUCAGUAUGAUGCAAGAGUGCACAUCGGCCCAGGUCCCGCAGUAGAUGGCCAGCCGUUGGUUUUUCAGGGUAGAGCCAUGCCUACCACUAAUUUGGCCAUUCGGCCGCUGCUGUGGAGGCUAUCCGAUACCUCCGAACCAAGUUCCCGCAAGUGGCAGAUCGAAGGGAGUUCUGCUUCUUCCCCAUGGUGACAGAGUCAGGAAUUCAGCCUUCUCCCACUAUUCAAGGAGAUGACCCCGCAAUCGCUCGCCUGGUGCAAUAUAUCACUGCCCAGGGGAUGAUGAUUUCAAAGAUGUUGGCCAAAUUCAGAACCUUGGACAACGAUUUUGUACGAGUUGUCAAGGAAGCUUAUCGUGAGGCUCGUAAAUUCACAUAUCAAGCUUUUCACCCAACGCCAUCUGAGCCAGUGCUACCCUCUCAGCCUGUGUUGUGGCCUCGGCCAAACAUCAUCACCCUCGACAAGACUCUUUUCUGGAUCCAUUAGCAACAUAUGCUUGGAUAAAUUUCAACCACACCCCCAGUACCUGAACCCCAACCCAUAGUGAUAUCGGAUGAUGAAGAUGGAGAUUGGCUCAGUCUUCGUCCUCCCGGAGAACCCCAGCAAAGCAAGCCCUCAGCUUGAUCUCAGCCAUGCAAUCAGUUGUUUCUGCAAGUAGGUCAGGCUGUCAGUUCAUCCCUGAUAUGAGGAUAGAACCAUGUAUCCCGGAGUGAGUAGUUUCAUUUAGCGCGUAGCGCAUUCGUGCUUUGUCAUAUGCUUGCACUGUUGUAACUCGUAUGAUGUGUUUAUGUAUGCUUUCUUGCUUUUGAUUUUUGUGUUUGUUUGUCUCUCUGUGAAGCAAAGAUGUUUGAUAGGGUUGGUAAUGUGUGCUAACAAGAUUUUAAUCAGUAGAACACAUACACUAAAAACCACAUUGGCUCGUCCUGAGUCUUUAAUAAAAUGGCACUGGUGUAGGUAUAUAUAUACUAGGAUUAUAUAUACCCACUAGCAUUAAAACACCUUAGAAUGAUUUGUCUGCUAUGUUUUUCAUUGCAUGUUUAUUGCCUCUGUUUGUUUGCUAAUUUAGAUUAUUCUGCAUACCACACGCAUACCCGGUUCGCCCACGAGUACCUUCGGGCAGUACUUGGGGGAAUGCAAAGUCACAUGUUCCUUUCUAUCUGUGCAUACCCCGUGUGUCGGAUUUUCAAAUCCAGAACCUUGCAGAGGCAUUUCCGUCUGGCAAUUCCUUGUCUCUAAUUCUUUCUCCUGAUUUCAUUACCGGAGGAACACUGUCAACUUUAUUUCAUUCGAUCCAGUACAUCUACCCAAUACAGAUUUCAACUCCGAUUCUACCUUGACACCUACUUUUUGUGGAGCAAUCCAUGAAAUUUUUCCCUCGUACCCCAGUGUGCUUUCUGAGCUGGUACAGCCACCUCGCCUGCACCUGUACCCCAUCCCCACCAUCUUCUAUGCCUUGCAUGGUGCAGGCAAGUCGCCACCCCGCUCCACCGGCGCAGGCGAUUACUCCAUCGGCGCAAAGCGACGGAGGAUCAAGCAUGGCGGAGGACCACGCAGUGCACCAUAUUCUCCCACAUCUCAAGCCACCGCACCCAGUCGCGCGUUGUCUCGAGCCUGAUCAUUCCUGAUGAGUAUCAGCAGGAGGAUCGACGAGCCAAUGAGCGUUCCCAGCAGCGCCGCGAGGAACAACCGCAGCGCCGCCAAGAACAUUUCCUCGCCGAAGGAGCUCGGCUCGAUCUCGUCCAAAUCGAAGAGGUAGUAGAGCGGCAUUGUGUUGGUGUGUUGGAGGAGAGCCGUGCUACCAUCUUUUAUAACCAACCCCGGUGUACAGUGAGCAAGGUCCAGGAGAACCUCUCGUCGCUCGAUCACCAGCCUCCAGGAGGUGAAUCCGUGAGCAGUGCCGACAAGGUGGUGGCCCGUGAUGUGAGUGCUCGUUGCACUAGCUCCGUGCAUGCCGCGCACUACGACACUAGGGUCCUCAUCACCCUAGGAGCUAGAUGUGCGCUACGCCAAGCCGCACACGGAGCAGCAAUGAAGAAGAAGCAGCAAGCUGGAGGUAGAAGAAGGAGGCUGCCAGUGGGCCCUGGACCCACGUGUCAGCAGGUGAAACCACUGUUCAUUAGGUGCAUCCAGCAAUUUUUUAUGGGAGUCUGAUCUCGAGUGCCCCUAGCGGUGGAUACAUCCAGGUUUGCCAUAUCCCUCCCCAGGUGUACCAAUUAUCGGUGCCCCAUCUCGUUUGAAUUUAACCAAAUGGUUAAAAAAAUUAACCCGAGGUUUUUCCCUGGAGUGGUUAUCAUUUCAGCUGUGCUGUAACCCUAGAAAUCUCGAGGAAGAGAUUCUUUUUAAGGGGGGCAGAGUUGUAACAGCCCCAAAAUUGGGUUAUCAAUUUUUGUUCUGUUAUUCCUUCCUGGCACUCAUUCUUCAAAAAAAUUCCCCUGAGUUUGCUGGAUGACUCUGACAAUUCUUGUCAUUUUCAACCUUUCAAAACCUUGCUCAUGUCUUUGUCAGUGGGCAAGACCUCAUUUGCAUCAUCUCAAACUCUCUCAAACCCUAAUUCCAAAUUUUUGGAAUUUGGAUAUGUCCUUUAUGCUUCCAAAGGAGCCAUCAUUUCCCUUGUUUUGUUGAUCCUCCCAAUUGUUUCCAGAGAUCCUCUUGUCUUUCUGAACCUUGGAUGUGCAAAAAUAUUGCUAAGUCUCAUGCAAUAUUUUUGAAUUGUGAUUUAUUCCUUUUCUUGCCUUUCUGAGGAAUAAAAUCCAGAGGCAUAGCUAGCCAUCUCCUAAAUUCAUGAGAAUUGGUGGAGUUGAUACUUAUGCCUAAUCCAAGCUCUGGCAAAUAUAUUGGCGAUAAUUAAAUAAGGAACAUUGCCUUUUCCUAUUUAAUGCCAAUAUUGCAUUUAUGCCAUUUUCCAAAGGAACUACUAUUUUUAUAGCAGAAAAAAUUCCCACAUAAAUCGUGGAGCUUUUACUUGCUAUAUAUUAACUAGUUCCAUCCUAAUCUUAUGAUUUGACAGUCCAAAAUUGGGCACAUGAUCCAAUGCAAGUUUCUGCCUUCUCUGAAAUUUUGCAAAGGAAGUGCUUUAUUCCUAAUUCCAAUGGAUCUACAAUUUGGUAGGGUGAUUAACAUGGUUAAGUAACCCAUGGAUGAAAAAUAUGAGCUCAAUCCAUUCAGCCUACCUCCCUGUGUAGUUUUUUCAAAGUUUCUAACCAGAACACAACUUUGUGAAGGAAGUACCUUCAUAGAGUUUCCAAAUGGGAUGAAACUUUCCAAUCCUCUCAAGUAUCUCAAAUAAUUAGCCUCCACCUAAAUUCAGUUCAUUUCAUUGAACUACGUGAGCACAGGAGCAAUUCUUGGUUUCUGUCCAAUUUUUUAGUUUGUGAAGCAGGUAUAUUUUAUCUUGCUCCAUUAUGGCUGAAACUUUUUCCGGAACUUCUCCUUUACAUGCGAUCCAUCUCCACAAAAUUUUGGAUCAUUUCAAUUAGCCAUUUGCCCUGAGGAUUUUUCUGAAGUUUCUGGGAAAAACUGAUAGUUGUGAAGAUAGUACCAUUUUGGCAACUCCAUUUGGUAUGAUAUUUUUGCAGCAUCUACAUAUGAUCAAAUCAUCAAGCUUUGCAAAGUAUUAGCUCAAUCCAUCACUCCUAGUGAGUGCUUAUUCCUCAUUUAGUUUCUAGACCAGAUUUGGCAUUUGUACAGCAACUAUGCUAAAUACUUGACCAAAUGACUUCAUAAUUCCCAGGACCGUAUCCUUCCUACCCUAAGACUCUUAGACAAUAAAUUUACCUUUUACCCUCUCUGGUUUACUCUCUAGAGUGUGGCCAAGUUUACAGCAGUAAACUUGUGGAGCUUGGUUUACUCCACUCCCUGUGUCAUUGCUAGUAUCUUUACCGCAAUAGUUCUCUACCUUGGAUGUACAACGCGGUAGACAUGAGCUGGCAUUAGUAAAAAACAGAGCAUGCCUUGUCCAUGGUGACCACGAGUGCAACCAGCCACUGUUCUUGUCGGCAGCGCUGCUCCGACUGGCUCUGGCCUCGCCAUUAAUGUCCUACAAUCCCCCUCGCUGUCGUCUUCCCCCUGGACCGCUCGCCCCCUCUGUUUUCUUCUCCACCGAGCCAUGCCAACGACCGAAAAAGUGCACUCCUGUGCAUCAUCUCCUUCCUCCCCAGUGUCCUCUUCCUCCUUUCGUCUUUGAGCGUCGCCCAUCUCCAUGAGCCUCUGCUGCUCGACUGCAUCCUCCUCGUCGCCUUCCUGUCGCUUCCCGUGAGCCUUGGCCACGCCUGCUGACACUGUCUCGUCGCCGACACGCGAACACAUCGCCCGCUGCGUGCCACCUCCUCCCCCUCCUUCCCAAGCUCUCCCCGCGGCUAUAACUAGCCCUCUCGAGCCCCCUCGCAGUCCACAACCCUCCCCAACCACUCGCAGCUCUCCCCCUCGCCUCGGAGCUCCACAUCCCCUCCAAUGGCUGAGCCAUCGCCGCCAUCCCCUCGGCCAUUUCCGGCCGUCCCCUGCCCCGUCCAAGCCCUCCAUGGGACGCGCCACUCUCCGGCGACCCUUCCCGAACCGCUGCCCCUCCAUUUUCCUCACCGGAGCACCAUGUCCACCCGAGCCUAAAGCCCCUCUCCGCCGCGUGCCUUGCUGCUUCCAUUACAACGCUCAUCGGCGGUAGCGGCUACCACCCCGAGAUGCGUCUCUCCUCCCUGAGCAUCUGGGUAGGUCACCCGUCGCGAGUGGUGGCCGGAAUCGCCGGUGAUCGCCGUCGGGGCGGAUGCCUCCCUCUACCUCGCUCAAUCCCGAGUGGGAGGAGGAAGAAGCCAGGCCAGGGGGCCCUUCCCGCGCGACCCCACCUACCGGCGACCGAAGGGACUGGCCUAGUGCCACGUCAGAUAAGUGGCGGCGCCCCUGCCAUGAAGCCGCUUUCCCCAUGUGAAAGUGUAUUCCUGGAAAGGCGCUUUCAGUCACCGAAAGCGUAUUCUUCCUCUUCUUCGGCGAGAAAUAUGUUUUCCUCUUUGGAAAACGUAUUCUUAGAAAAGACAUGUUCUGUUUAAACUACUAGGGACCUAUUUGUAGAAGUAUUUUUCAAACUAGUCCCUGAGCUUUAAAUGUGGGAAGGCCUUAAUGCGAUCUAUUGUUGUGCCUCUCGCCGGUGCCUCCAAAGAGGGAAGGUCAUGGGCGCGCGCUACCCUGAUCAGGUAGGCGAACAUAACCUUGUGUGCCCGUUGUUGAAAUUAUGGUACCGUGUCCCCGUGUGGGACAUUUAUGUUUUGGCCACGACGGUGGUCGUUGUGUCAUUGGUAGACACGGGGCCACCCAGGACUAGCCCAGUGGGGAGUGAGUCAGAGUGGCCGGGAGAGUGUCAUGGCAGUAGGUCGGUUUCGUCGGAAUGCCGUUGGUCCACCCGAAUGGGGUGACGAGGCCAUGGGUUCCGUGGUGUGGGUACAGUGCGUUACCUCUGCAGAGUGUUUAUAAAGUCUAUCGAUAGUGACAUAGUUCGUAGUAGGCCACACUAUUAGGUCUUGGUCGAAAUGGAGGAUAAACCUAAAAUAAUUAAGUAAAUUAAUGUGAUAACAAGAAUGUGGUGACUUGGACUAUGAGAUAGUCGUGAGAAGUCGCAUCAAUGUUUUGAUAUGAUCACGAGACGAGGUCUCGAUGAGUGUUGGAGACCAAGUGUUGGUCAUGGUUGUGAUCGCCGGAAAGAUCACCAUUUGGUUACAAGGUAAUCCGGAACCGAGUGUGGUUCCAUUUGUGGUCUGUGAGUGAUCACUGUUCGGUUGCGAGGCAACCCAUUGGUAAGAGAGUCCGAGGGACUCAGUGCACAAGCUUGGUUGCAUUGCAUGAGUAAUAUGUUGUUGUCUGCAUGACAAAUAGUAGUUGCAUAUAGUUAACAUGCUAUGUUCGAUAUGACCGGUAGUUUAAAUUCAGCAUAGUUUCAUGAUGCCAUGCCAUGUUUUUAUUGAUAUGCUAAAGUUAUGCCAUGAUGAAGAUGAUAUGUUAUGUUUUGCCAUUACCAUGUUAGAAGCAUGUUUGAUAUGCCAUGUGAUUACCAUGUUAGUAGAUGCUAUGGUGUUGUUCAUGCUUAGUUGAUCUUUAUCAUGCCAUGUUUAGUAAUUGAUAUGAGAUAGGUUGUUGCAUGCACUUGGUUCUUGCCUUGUCUUCUGCUUGUUUGGAUGCUAUGUAUUUGGUUGUCUAGCAAGUACAUUCAAUGUACUGACCUGGCGUGUCAUGCCAGUUUUGUAGGUCAUACCCGAAGUGUUCGCUUGACCCGUCGUGCUAGGCCGUAACCUUGCUAGUCCUGUGAGUUGUGGAGCCCAGCCAGAGUUGUUAUGCUGCCAAACCAAGACUUCCGCCGCCAUUUAAAUAGAUUUC
rnacentral:lncRNA from 1 species